CUGAGCAGCCUUGGGUGCACUGUUGGGGUGUGAGGGCUGGCUUUGCCCCCCCUCCCCAGCAGCUUUUGCAGCACCCAAAAAAACCCCCCAAUACAAAAGCCUGGAGCAGAAUUUGCCUGAUGAAUCUCUCUUCAGCCCCACAGCUCCUCAGUACCCGGGGUCUGUCUGGUUUCCCCGGGUAGGAGGCACCUCUCCUUUGCCCAGCUGAAAAUUCGGGCUGAGUUUUCACUCCAGCCUGACCCAUCCUCCCCUCCUGGGGAACUUCAUGCUGCUCCCAGGGUGGUUUUAGCUCCAUCCAGGGCCCUGGCCUGGUGCAGAGCUGAGUGAUGCUUCUUCCUCAUCCUCGCCUGUGUCUGGCGCAGCCCUGCCUCACCGCUGCAUCCCCACGUCUGCUGGAAUGAGCUGUGGCAGCCCCGGAUCUGCAGGACAUGCUGCCCUGAGCGGACAAUGCACCCCACCAGCUUCUGCAGCUGCUGGAAGGAGGCGAUCCAGCCCACAUCCAGACCAUCUGCCCUUUUGCUUGCCCACCUCCAGAGGAGGAAGCCACGGAAAAGUCAUGGAGUGCAGCUGACGAUCCCUAAACCUGCAAUUUAUGCGACUGGUGUAAUCUCCGCACAACUGUAACUGAUGAAUAUGCAUCAUAUCAUUUCUAUGCACAGCAGAAAGUAACCUACUUCUGGCCCCCAGCAAACUGCGGUUGACUCCAGAACUGGAUGGUAUCAGCAGUGGUCUGCUGACAUACAUGUGCACAAGGGUACAUCAACUCCAAUGCCCUGCUUGUGAUUCCCUGGUGUUUGUGCCAGCAACAUAUUUUGUAAGUAGAGGUUAUUUUGGCUGCUGAAACUACUGAAACUGGACACACUGAUGGACAGCAGAGAUAUCUUGGUUGUGCUUACAGAAAAGGAAUUGACCUGAUUGAUCAUGACAGUGGGCUCAGUCGAUGAUAGCUCCUGGCUUGUGGUCAGACGGGAUGAACAUAACCAUUGCUUCUGUCUUUCAUGUCUAUGAAAGUAAAGAUCCUUGACUAUUGUAUUUUGGCCUCAGUGGCAGAAGAAGGUUGGCUCUUACAGUCUGUGCUUGCAGUGGAUCCCACUUGGGGCUUCCACAGUAUCAUGGGCAGUCAGAGGGGGCUGAUGAAACUCUAAACAGGGAAUAGAAAGGUGUUCAUCUGGGAUAUGCAGAUAUACUGAUUUCAGCUGGGACAGAGUCCUUUUUGGCACCCAGUGUGGUGCUUGAAGGGUUUGAGACAAUGAAAGAUUUGAUUGGAGCAUGCUAGACCAAAUUUAUAGCAGUUAUAGUUGUUUAGCUACUAAAUUGGCAAACACCUGUGCUUGCCACAAGGCUUGAUGGCCUUUAUUGGAGUCUAGUGAUUGUUAGUGGCUGCUUUUUGCUUUUGUUGCUUGCCAUACCGCUUAUCGUCUUUCUCUGCUGGGCCUGGGAACAUCUUGAUAAGAGCAAUGGCGAUGUGCCUGGGCUGGCAGAUGGCCAUCACUGCUGUUCCUGUGCUGCUGAACUGGGCAGGCUGGAACUCUGGUGUGAACCGGAAUUGAAGGGACUGUGACCUGUGGAGGAGUCUACAUGGAAGCAGGUAUACCCCAAGGUGUCCGAGGCCGUGGAUAUGCCCAUCUUGCAGCAGAUAUACGCCGAAGCCUCUGUGGACAUGGAUAUAGCCAUGCUGGAACACCUCAAUGCAUCUGUGGCUGUGGAUAAGUCCACACCACAGCAGGUAUGUCCCUGAAGAGACCAUGGCCCAUGGAUAAGGUCACACUGGAGCAAGAACACCCCAAGGAGAUUGCAGCCCACAGAUAAGGCCAUGCCAGAGCAGAUUCUCCCCUGAAGGGAUUGUGGCCUAUGGAUAAAUUUACAGCAGAGUAGGGGCAAGGGGAGGAGUUAAUCACAGUGUUAAAUCCCAUAGCCUGGUCCAUAGGGACCAGGGGUGGAGAUUGUAAUGAAUCCUUUACGAGGUUAGAACCCAUAAUUUGAGCUGCAUGUUAUAGGAAUUACUACAACAGGAACCACCUGAACCAAGGGAGGAUGAGCUUCACAAGAAGCAGUGCAAGCGCAGCAGUAACCCUACCUGAGCUGGCUUUGGUGUCCAGUAACUCCACACAACACACCGCCUCUCCUGUUCUGAGUGACCACCCUAUUAGAUGGAGCACAAAGUCAUGGACUGAAUGAACUCAAUGGACAUUUUAUGGGCGUUUUACAGGGGUGGCCCAUGGACUAAGGGAACUAUACCUGUGUAUAAAUCAAAGGAUGGGAAGGAGAGUGGUGGUUGAUGAGGAUGUAUUGGAUGGUGUGGCGCCUGAGCAUGACAUAAAUGGCAUUGAAUAAGGGGUGAGGAUUGCACUGGUUUUAUCUGGGGUAGAGUUAAUUUUCUUCACUGGUAGCUCCUAUUUGGUCACAUUUGGAUUUGUGACAAAAACAGUGUUAAUAACACAAGGAUGUUUUAAGUAUUGCUGAACAAUGUUUGCACAGUCUCAGGACCUUUUCUGUAAGUUGGAAAUGCACGAGAAGUUGAGAGGGGAACCCAGGUG